GCCUUCGUGGUGUAGUGGAGAGCACGUUCGGCUUGUAUUCGAGAGGUCCGUGGUUCGAGUCCCAGCGAGGUCA
rnacentral:tRNA from 1 species